AUUGAACGCUGGCGGCAUGCUUUACACAUGCAAGUCGAACGGUAACAGGCCUUCGGGUGCUGACGAGUGGCGAACGGGUGAGUAAUGCAUCGGAACGUGCCCAGAGGUGGGGGAUAACGCAGCGAAAGCUGUGCUAAUACCGCAUGUGCUCUGAGGAUGAAAGCGGGGGACCAGGCAGCAAUGUUUGGCCUCGCGCCUUUGGAGCGGCCGAUGUCAGAUUAGGUAGUUGGUGGGGUAAAGGCCUACCAAGCCGACGAUCUGUAGCUGGUCUGAGAGGACGACCAGCCACACGGGGGCUGAGACACGGCCCAGACUCCUACGGUAGGCAGCAGUCGGGAAUUUUGGACAAUGGACGCAAGCCUAAUCCAGCAAUGCCGCGGGCGGGAAGAAGGCCUUCGGGUUGUAAACCGCUUUUGUACGGAACGAAAAGGCUCUGGCUAAUACCUGGGGCUGAUGACGGUACCGUAAGAAUAAGCACCGGCUAACUACGUG
rnacentral:rRNA from 1 species